rnacentral:lncRNA from 1 species
AGUCAUCCCCACCCGCAAGCUCUCGCGGCGCAGCCGCCCGCCCAGGCCGCCAACCCGCACCUGCUUCGGUUGCAUUCUUAAAGGGCCAAGUGUUGACGACCAGGGGCAGAGGGCUGGAGCAGCGCACUAGGGCCUGGCAGAGCAGAAACGGCACGAGAAGCACAGGCAAGUUCGACUUCCGCGCCAUCCCUGACCACCGAAGAGACCAGCGCGAGAAAAGUCCCGGCAGCCAGCGAUCGCCGAACAAUUAAUCCCCAGUGCCCCGCCCGCCUGGCGCCCACGCCCGCUCUCUCGGGGGUUCGCUCAGGCGUCCCUCAACUCUCGCGAGACGAGGCGUCCCUGGGCCCGCGGGAGAGUUGUGUCACGGGGCACUGAGCUGUUCCCUGCGCUAAGGUGCUUCUUCCUAAGUGCUGUUCAGAUUUUUAAAAUAGCCAGACAAGUUGCUGCUUUUCCUGUGGUUAAAAUAGAUUUAGCUUGAUAUUGGGAAUUUAAUACAAAAUUAUUCAACUCUGGGUUGCAGGGCCCCAGGAACUUUAGCCGAUUGCUGUGUACUAUGGAUUUGGUUCUUUUACUGUCUUUUUAAUUUAAAGUUGAAGUUGAAAAGUUUGUCAAACUCAGUAUAUUCUUGGGGAUCCCAGGCCUCGGAGGUCUGCAAUAGUUAUGAGUGUAGGUGAAGCGUGUUUGCUUAGGACCGGAUUGAUUUUAGAUUUUUUUUCCAUUCAUAGCGUCCGUCAUUUUCGCACCACAGCUUUUUGUAGCACUUCCUCUCAUUAUAAAUCCCUGAGCUGGAAGAAAAACAGAAACGGCCUAUGUACCCUCUACCUAGCACACUGAAGUGCAGCUUCCUGCACCUCCAGGGCAAGACGGCUACCUCCAUUCCUUUUUAAAUGUAUUUUUACCUUCCUGCCUGGCACUAUUAAGUGCUAAAUAAAUGAAUAAGAGGAGGAAUGGGGAUUUUACGUGCUUGGUGGAGGCUGCUCAGUUUUGUUGCUGGGCAGACGUGCGAACAUGAACUAAUAAUCCCUUUGGGUGUCUGGAAUGCCUGCCCAGGUUGCCAAGGCAAGACACAUAAUCACAUAAUUUUUAAAAGCAUCUAUAAAUCUAUACAAACUUUAAAAAUAUGAACUAGGCUGGGCACGAUGGCUCACGCCUGUAAUCCCAACACUUUGGGAUGCUGAGGUGGGUGGAUCACGAGGUCAGGAGUUCGAGACCAGCCUGGCCAACAUAGUGAAACCCGUCUCUACUAAAAAUACAAAAAUUAGCCGGGCGUGGUGGUGCAUGCCUGUAGUCCCAACUACUUGGGAGGCUGAGGCAGAAUUGCUUGAAGCCGGGAGGUGGAGAUUGUGGUGAGCCGAGAUCGCACCACUUCACUCCAGCCUGGACAACAGAGUGAGAUUCUGUCUCAAAAAUAAAUAAAUAAAUAAAUGUAAAAAUAUAAACUAGGUAGGAGUUGUGAGACUUACAAAACCUUCAAGGCUCUUAUUGAUUGCUAGGAAAUUAAAUACAUAAUUUAAAGAACAUAAGAUAGCCCAGAAGUAUCAUUAUCCCGUUGGGGAAGUGUUAAUUAAAAGAUAUAAUAAAGACAAAUUUUCUAAGUUCCUUUCAUGGGGUUUGGAAGAGGAACAAGUCAUCUGUGCUGGAGUAAUCAUAACCCAAUGGCAGGUGAAACUGGAAACUUGGGUGAAACAGGGUAAGAAAGCCAGAAAAACAUACAUUGUCCUCUGAGUAAAUUUUCCUUAGCUCCUGGGCUGAGUAUUUUUAUGCAGCCUUAAGGAAUUAGGACAUGCCUUUAGCAAAAAUUGUAAAAUACAAUACAUGGAAAAUUGGUCUUAGUACCCCACUGAUCUCUCUAGCCUCUUCCUGUUUUUUAAGGUAUUUGUGUUUCUUCUGGUGGAAAGAGCCUGAUCUGUUACCUCCUACUAUGUCUAUUUCUCCAAAUUCUUUCUUCUUAAAUAAAAAUUCCUGUCAGAGAAACAGCUAAAUUACACUAUAGUGGGAAUGGCUGAUAGAAGGUCUCAAUAUAUCAACUUUUCCAUGGAUAUUUGUAUGUAUGUAU